rnacentral:lncRNA from 1 species
UUUGAGGUAAUAGUCUAGGAAGUUUCCGUGUCAACGAAAAAUAGUACUACACGUGUGAAUAAAGGGCACCUAUGACAUACAAAGUACUGCAAUAAAAUUGGAGGGCUGGGGAAGUGUUGGACUGGAGCUUCGCCCCCAUGCGGUAUGCUCUAUCCAAGUAUGUGCUCCUGUUUGCCGCAUCUACAUAUUGGAUGAAACCUGCGUGCUAAUUGCGAAUUAUGUGCAAGUCAGUAUUGAACGCUCUGUAUUUCCAGAGAAGUAAGUUUCAACAGUUUCCACGACAUUUCAUGUCUGUUCCAUGCAGUAGUGUAGGUGGGAAUUAUAUUGAUGAUUUCAUUUUACCUUCAUAUCUGCUGAAUUUUCUUACCAAACACAAAAGCUUUGUGAGGUGUUGAUAGAAGUGAACAUAAUUCAUGAUACAAUCCAAAUACUCUGAAAAUAUUUUUAUGGUUCAGUAUUCCUAUGAGGGGAGUGAGUGGAGACAGAAAUGAGUGCACGUGGAGCAGCUGCUGCCUAUGAGGCGAGUGAGUGGAGACGGCCAGAUCUAUGCGGCGGAGGGGCUAUAGAAGCUUGAACGAAAGAUUCGUCGCCAGCAUCGGAGCAAUUUAUUGGGCAGAUCGACACUAAAUCUCCUGCAUGGACGUGAAGGCAUGUCUUUAUUAAGUUCAAUCUUUGAAAACUUGGCAUGUGACGCUGUGUAAAAAUAAAAGAUGCUAGAAAAUUGUCUCUGGCCAAUUUCGUAUGUAGCCGUGAGCAUUGCUAAUUUCUGUCAACAUGAACGAUAUUUGGUCUGUUUAUAUAGCUACCAUGUGCUGAACAAAUUGUCUGAUUAAUGUAAUACUCCUGAAUAGAUUGGUGUGCGUGCCAUGUCAUUUGGUCUGCGUUACACUAACAAAAUCAUUUUGUCAAUGGCUGGUCCAUUAAUACUCUUUCAAAAUUUUGUCUUGACUGCAACAUUGUAGUUUUUUUUUGGUAUGUAUAAUAAGCAUAGGUGUCAAUUUUGGAGCAGAUGAUAGAUUGUUGGUUGUAG